UUAUAAAAUGGACAUUAAAAAAAUCAAAAAAAUCAUUCUUGUUCAAAUCUCAACAAGUAAAUUGUCUUAAAAAAAUGCCUCCAUCACAAAAACUGCAUUCAAGUAUGGGGUUCGAUUUGUUUGAUGCUGCCGGCAUCAAACCUUAGACCAACAAAUAGAGAAACAAAGAGUCAACAACGGUGAAUGUAUUUAAGUUCCAAAAUUGAAACAUAAACGCAUAAAAUCGUUUGGUAAAUAUGUAACUAAUUAUGCUUUACAUCUAGACGGAUCUCGAACAUUACUUAGGAAGUGGUAUUGCAAUGUUGUGAAAAUACUAUUACUGUUAAUUUGAUAUUCUAAGCAAUUAAAUGCAGACUAAACAGUAUGAUUUAAUCUUUGUAAUUUCUGAAACGUUUCACCAAAACUUUUUACUUUUUUCUCCAAAACAGUCUUUACUUUUGAACUAGCCAUAUAAAGCAGUUUCUGCUUUAUCAAGUAAACCGUUUUUGAGGUUUGAUAAGUGUAAACCACUACAGAAGAAAAAUAGAAGAAAAAAGAGGAAUAAUUAUAUGAAGAUUUGUUUCCAACAAAACAAUUAUUUUAUGCAAAAGUUUAUAAGCUAAUAACCUCUAAAAAUCUAAAAGCAUUUUAUACGCAAUGGGCAGCCGUAGUUCAAAUUAAUUUAUUAUAAAACAAAACAUACGCAAAUAUUAUUAAAACGGAUGAAAACAUUAUUUUUGAUAAUUUUUAUGCAGUUAAAAAUGUUUUGAAUUGACAAUAUAAAGAUAAUUCUCUAUUACUAUUACUGAGACAUAAAGAAGAGAAUGUAAAUGCAAGACUUCACAAUAUAGAUAGUGACGAGUUAAUGAGGAUGUUUAGUGAUAUCCGAUGAUGAUUAGAUGAUAAUUUGAUGGUGAUUUGAUUGAUGAUGAUUUGAUGGAUACGGUUUUUUAAAUGCUCAGGUUUUGCUGACUUAUGCCGGCUCAGCGUUUCUUGCAAAAUAAUUUUUGUAAUUAAAUAUAGUAUUAUUUAAUUAACUGAAUAAGGUAUUAGCCUGAAAUUUAGUACACACUCCAGUAGCUAUAGUAAAUAUAUAUGUUAGCGCAAUAUAGUUUAGUUUUGUAAACUAAAAAAUAUAGAAUUUAGUUUGGUACGCAGUUUAGUUUAUAAAUAUAGAAAAUUUAGUUUUGUAAACUAUAAAAACUUAAUUAAUAUUGUUAAUAUUGAUUCCUACUUGGUGUUAAUAUUGAUUCCUACGCGUUAAUAUUGAUUCCUACUCGGGCAGACAAUCUUAAGGUGGAUUCGAAUCACCAUAACAACAGAUUGGAAAUUUAGAAGGAUUCUUUCAUUUUAAACA